AAUCCAUACUCAAUCUUGUGUUUGAUUUGACAAUACUGAAACCAUCAUUAAAGUCUUAAAAACAAAAUGCUGAAAAUUUUUUCAUCAUUAUUAUCAAUUUUCUUGAUAACUUGCCUCUUUAUUAAUGCUGUCGAAGGAUGUAAAGGUGGCUGGUGUCAUCCUCAGCAAGGUUACGAUUGUUGUGAAGGUCAUUCAUGUAACUCAUAUUGGUUCCAAGGUCAGUGCGAAAAUAUUGAGGAAAAUCAAAGGGAAAUGUUUGCGAAUCUAGCCGCAAUCAGCCAAGCCUUUGGCAGAAAAUAAGCAAAUCAAAUAGCAACGGUCCUUAAGCAUGUCUCUUACGAAAGAAUUAAGUAAGACUUGAAAAAGGUGUAUUUUAUAAGAAUUGCUUAUCAUAUUAACUUUAGUUAUUUCAAAGUUACUCGGCGCUCAAAUGCAGUACCUAUAGCAAACUCAGUGACCCUCAUUCAAUCUUGAAGCGCCCCGAAAUUAUUAAUAUUAUCACACCAUUAUAUUCAAAUUGAACGCGCUCAAAGUCUGUAAUAAUUGCCGAGUCAAAAUGUACAAAUACUUAAAAAUAAAAAAUAAUAUAA